AAAAUAUGAUUUUCGUUGCAAAAUGCAAUGUAAUUUUGGUACACGGUGUAAAAUUCUAAAUGAUGAUGCUUGUUACCGCGGAAUACAAAUAAGACAAUAAGAUUAGUUUGGAAAGUGGGCACCUAAUCAGUGAUGCCUAGUAGCUCGUAUUGGAUACCUCUCGAUCAUUAACGAUGCUAGUUUCAGCAUAGUUGAAUUUAAAUUUUAGAAUAAAAUGCAAAAAUGAUAUGGUUAAUAGCAGCUGGGGUAGUGGCGUUUUUUUUAUGGUAUAGUUUCAUUUGGCCUUUAAAUCAUUUUACACGAUUGGGCGUUAAACAAACAAAACCAUGGCCAUUGUUUGGAGAUUCUUGGCCCUCUAUAUUCAAAGUGAAAAGUGUGAGCGAACAUAUAUCAUGGAUUUAUAAUAUGCACCCUGAUACCCGAUAUACUGGAUUUUUCCAAUUUGCAACACCUUCGAUAAUGCUAAGAGAUCCACAAUUG
rnacentral:lncRNA from 1 species